rnacentral:lncRNA from 1 species
CGUGUCUGUGUGAUGGAGCUUCCAUUCAAGAGUUAUCUUUUAUUUCCGCUUUAUUUAUGUAAAGACUCUGAGAUAUUAUCGUUAUGUAAUGAACAUUUAUGAUGAUACUCCCUAUAAUUUGUCGGCUUAUGUGUGAUUGAUCUCUGGGCACACAUAAGGUUUUGCAUUCAAUUUUAUCCUUAAAAUUGGGUGUGACACAUACCUUGCAUUUGUCACUCCUUUGAUAUUUUGCUCCAAACCUAGUAAGGUUAGUGAAAAUAAUACCUGAAGGAAUAAUUAUAAUUCUAUGCUUAAUUAACAAGGGUAGCACAAUAGAAAGGUGAACACUCAUGUCAUGGUCUAAAUAGUGAUUGUUUUAGGACACUAAGCUUGUCCUUGGGAAACCUUUAAGAUGUGGUUUGGUGAAGUGGUUUCCCUUCACAACACCCAUCUAAGUGCACUACUUUCAAGAUUUACCACAACAAGAUCUACAAUAUUUAUGAUAAACAUAUGUGUCUACAACCACCCUUUAAAAAAAUUUAGGAACAGUGAGCAUGAGGGGGUUGAAGAUCUCAUGUGGGGUAAUGUUAGAGAGACUAAGUGAAUCAGGAGAUUUUUCUUAUGAGCAAGGGACCGAUGGGGUGUUAAUGAAGUAGCUUCUAUGCUCAUUGAAGUCUCCAUCAUUUUCUACUUCCAAGAGUGACUCAACAAGUAUGUCCAAAAAUUCCCUUGGGUCAUCUCUUGAAUUAAUCUUUUCUAAGGCCUUGUCCAUCCAUUCAAUGGAGAAAGCACCUAGGUUUUUAAUGCUCUCGAGCCAUAGAUUUUGGUCUUGUCUAUCUUAUAUAUGGCCUUGAUUAUUCCUAUGCAUGGGAGAUCUAGAUGGAUUUCUAGGAUCAUCAAGAGGUUUAGGAGAAAGAGCAAAGAACAAGCCAUAGUGGUCAAGGAUGGGUUUAGAGAUGGGUUCAUAUUCUAUAUCUAAUGUGGGCAAAGAAGGAAGAGGAUAAGAGUGUCUUCUAGAUGAAAUGCUUGUUGAUAGAAAAGAAAAGGAAAAAGAAAAGAUGAGAUAAAAGAAAAAGAUAAAAGUAUAAUACAAGGUUAAGCAUGAUUUAAAGUUAUCUUAGCAGACAGUCUUUCUCUCCGGCACAUAGAGAAAUCCGCAAGCGCACAGAUAUCGGUGAGCACUUCACCUGGGAGAUAUUCUAGGGUAGAAAGCGUGCAUCAGACUAACCUAAAUCUAUACUUAACCCCUGGGCUUGCAAGACAUGAUAGUGAGAUAUGAGCUAUAUAGAGAGAACUCCUUCGCCAGUCUUCUUCUAACCUAUGGUAAGUGUGUGGUUAUAGUUCCAAGGGGAGUACCUAGAUAAAAGAGACACCUCAGAGAGUGUUUGACCCUGGCACCAUAUAUCAUACCUUACCUACUGACGAGACGUGGAUUACAGAGACACCAAGGGGAUUGUCACUUCCCCCGAUGCUACCACAAAUCCAGCCAGAUAGGGAGUAUCUAUGAGUGUACCUAGCCCAAGCACCACGCUUAUGCUAUGAACGAUUACUUUAUUCCAAAUACAAAGAGAAUAAAGUAAACCCAUAAGCCAAAGAAUAAUAAGAACAAUAAGUCACUAGUAUUAAAAGUCAAAUUGCCGAAUGAUUCUAGAACCAAGCCUUGGGUGGAAGAAGACACCGACAGGACAGGCUUCCUCCACUACUGUCUCCACCCUAUACUAUCUCAAUAUCUCUUGUUGCUAGAACCCUAUAGAGAUAGAUCCAUUCGAGGAAGCCCUCUUUGACUAAUUCUCUCUGGAAAAUAUGAAUUAGGUUUCAGAAUUAGCUACUCCCUAGGGGUGGUUAGGGUCUUAUUUAUAGCCCCUUAGAAAGCACCACAACCUUUGGAUCAAAUAGACUUAAACAUACACUUAAGAUUAAUCGUCAAACAUGGUGGAGGCAGGAUCCGUGAGGUUCAACCUGAUUGGUGGACUUAGUGGGGUGGGCGCCCCUACCCUUCUAGGCAGCCACCCAGAGCCCAGACCCGUUUUGCCUC